rnacentral:lncRNA from 1 species
AGAAAAGGGCGUCACAUCGACGUUUUCGAAACUUAAAACUUUUCAAAAACCAACAAUACACCUGGCCAAUUAAAGUAACACAUUCCAAUCAUCAUGAAUAUUCAAACAUAUGCGUUCGCAGCGGAAAAUAAGGAAUACUCAUGCAUUUCAUAAAAUGAUCCAUGUCCCAUACCAUGGUCACUACUUCAAAUUAAAUAAAACGAUUUAUGACAUAAAGCAUAUCAAAAUAAGAUAC